rnacentral:rRNA from 1 species
AUGCUGCUCCGCCUCCGCCCGCCGGCCGCCGCCGCGGGCCUCUCAUCCUUCCUCCCCUCCGCGCCCUUCACCCGCCCCCUCUCCUCGCCGUCCUGGCGCCCGCGCCCGCGCCGCCCCCGCCUCUCCACCGCCGCCGCCACAGGAGGAGGGCUGGACUCGCUGCGGGAGCGGUACGACGUCAUCGUGGUCGGAGGGGGCCACGCCGGCUGCGAGGCCGCGCUCGCGUCCGCCCGCCUCGGUGCCCGUACCCUCCUCCUCACCCUCAACAUCGACCGGAUCGCCUGGCAGCCUUGUAAUCCAGCUGUUGGUGGUCCCGCAAAGUCUCAACUUGUCCAUGAGGUAGAUGCCCUUGGUGGUGAUAUUGGAAAGAUUGCAGAUAGGUGCUAUUUGCAAAAGCGUGUGCUGAACAGCUCAAAAGGUCCUGCUGUCCGUGCACUGCGUGCUCAGACCGAUAAGAGGGAGUAUGCAAUGGAGAUGAGGAAAGUUGUAGAAAGCACACAAAAUCUUUUCAUUAGAGAGGCAAUGGCUACAGAAGUUAUGAUAGGCAAGAAUGAUAGUGUUGAGGGUGUUCGCACUUUCUUCGGCAUGGACUUUUACGCACCAUCUGUUGUACUUACCACCGGGACAUUUAUGAGUGGUAAGAUUUGGGUUGGUAGGACAUCAAUGCCUGCAGGGCGAGCUGGAGAGUCAGCUUCUCAGGGACUUACUGAAAACUUGCAGCAUCUGGGUUUUGAAACUGACCGUUUAAAAACUGGCACGCCACCACGAAUUGAUCGCAGAACAGUUGACUUUUCUAGAUUGGAAGCCCAGCAUGGUGAUGAAGAGGUAGGCUGGUUUAGUUUUGAUCCUGAAUUUCACGUUGAGAGGGAACAAAUGUGCUGCUAUUUAACGCGAACUACAAAAGAGACGCACCAGAUUGUUACAGACAACUUGGAUGAAACACCAACAUAUGGUGGCUGGGUUGAAGCAAAGGGACCAAGGUACUGCCCAGCAAUUGAAGACAAGAUUGUAAGGUUCAAAGAUAAAGAAUCUCAUCAGGUGUUUCUUGAACCGGAGGGUAGAGAUGUCCCUGAGCUAUAUCUACAGGGCUUUUCCACUGGUCUUCCUGAGAGAUUGCAAUUACCACUUGUGAGAACACUACCAGGACUGGAGAACUGUGUGAUGCUAAGGCCAGCUUAUGCUGUUGAAUAUGAUUACUUGCCUGCUUAUCAGUGCUCAAGAUCGCUUAUGACAAAAAGGUUUGAGGGCUUAUUCUUCUCUGGUCAGAUUAAUGGAACAACAGGAUAUGAAGAAGCUGCAGCUCAGGGUAUAGUUUCAGGAAUCAAUGCAGCUAGACAUUCUGAUGGAAAGCCACUAAUUGUUCUUGAGAGGGAAAGCAGUUACAUUGGGACUCUGAUUGAUGAUCUUGUUACAAAAGAUCUUAGGGAGCCUUAUCGCAUGUUAACAAGUCGUUCAGAGCACCGUCUACUAUUUCGAUCCGAUAAUGCUGAUAGUCGGUUGACCCCUUUCGGGAGAGAGAUUGGUUUAAUAGAUGACAGACGCUGGGAGCUUUAUAAGUCAAAGCAAGCCCGCAUUAAAGAAGAAAAAGAACGAUUGAAGCAUACAAGAGUAUCAGGGGUUGAAUUUGCUGCAGAAGUUACCGCAGUAUCAAACCAACCUGUAAAGGAGUCAUCGACACUUGAAGCGAUACUGAAAAAGCCACAUGUACAGUAUAAACUUCUGGACAAGCACGGCUAUGGAAAUGAGCAUUUAUCUCCAAUUGAGAAAGACUGCGUAGAGAUUGAUAUCAAGUACGAAGGUUUCAUAGCACGACAGCAGAGCCAAUUACAACAGAUUAUAAACCAGGAACACAGGAAACUUCCUGAAGACUUGGAUUACCACUCGAUGCUAAAUCUAUCCCUUGAAGCUCGUGAGAAACUUUCCAAGGUAAGGCCACAAACCUUAGGCCAGGCUGGCAGGAUCGGCGGCGUGAGCCCAGCUGACAUGACGGUUCUCCUCAUCUCGAUGGAGAGCACCCGCCGCGCGGCCGAGUACAAGCGACAGCAAGAAGUGAUGAGGUCCGUCGCCGCGGCCAGGGCCAGUGCCAAUGCCAAGGCGGACGAUUCUUCAGACGAGGCGGUUCAUGCCAGCACCGCGUAA